rnacentral:misc_RNA from 1 species
CGCUAAGUCCCGCCCUCGGGAGGAGGGCACUUGGUAUAACGCAUGCGCAUACGGAGAACUGGGAAAGCGGGCAUUAUCGCUGGUGCUGGUAUGGCGGCGACAAAAUUCAACUGACACAUAAGGAGAGGCAAAUUGUGCCAUGGCCGGACGCGUAGUGCAAACAGUGGCUCCUGGAAAUUGCCCAUCUCAACCGGGAAGUCCACCAAAUGAAACGCCCAUAGCGGCUCCGAGCCUCAUCAACUUGGCAUUUGCCACGCCUGACAUGUUGCAGACAAGGGGCCCACCUCCCAUGACCACCAUCACCCGUGAGUCGCCUGUUAUGACAGUGAUCCAAGUAACGCGUGACCUGCGGACAGAUGGUCAGCUGAACCCCGGCGUGCAGAAGCCCAUCCUGGUAACUGUCUCUGGCCUGCCCGGCAUGGUGGCUGGUUCCAAGCCACAGACAUUGCAGGGAGGGGCCACUGCAAUGGAGGGCUGUGUACAGCUGGCACCACUGUCACUGGCACCGGAUGCGGAUGGCUCUGGGCCGACCUUGGGAUCCACGCCCGCGGUCAGCUCGGCCACGCCGGCGGUGCUUGUAGGGAAGCCUGGUGGUGGACUGGCAGUGAUCCCUGGAGGCACGCAGGGCGCAACGUUUGGCACCCUCUUGGCCGGGGUGCUCACAUCUGCACCCAGCGGGCAGCCUCCUUUGCUCACAGUGUCGUCAGUUGCAACGCCCAUUCCAGUCGUGCUGCCGUCGUCUGUCACUGUGGCGCCACUCCCGGCUCAUUCUGGGGCGACGGGGACAGCAUCAGUAGCUCCUCAGACCCUGAUGGCCACAAGUGUAGCAAACAGUGUGCCGGCUUCCUUGCCUGGAUCUGUACCGUGCUCUAUCCAGGGCUCUAUUCAUGGCUCGAUGCCAUGCUCAAUGCCAGUUACUAUGUCUGGCUCCACACUGGUCUCUGUGUCAGCUUCAAUGCCAGUGUCCAUGUCAUCUUCCGUGCCAUCAUCAGUGUCGACCUCCAUGCCGACUUCCAUGCCAACCUCCAUUGCUGCUUCAAUGCCAGCUCCCAUAGCGGUAUCAGUGCCAACUUCUGUGCCGACUUCUCUACAAGCCUCUGUGGCAUCUUGUGUGCCGACUUCAGCACCAGUGUCCUUAGCAGCAACAGUGCUGACCGCUGUACCAGCAUCAGUGACAGCUCCUGUAACAGCCAUGGCAUCUGUUUCAGCAGCUGCGACAACUGUGCCCACUUCCAUAACUGCUGCAGCACCAAUAAUUGUUUCAACUAUACCUCUUACGCCGUCUGUGCCGGCUGCUCCAUCUACGCCUAUUGCAACACCCGUGCCUGCAACGGCAGCCGAGGGGUCUGCACAGGAGCCCGAGUUUGAUCCCAUUCAGGCCAUGGAAUGGAAAGAUGGUAUUGCCACACUCCCUGGUAGCAGCCUCAAGUUCCGUCUGACUGAGUUUGGCACCCUGGAGGUGGUGACCACGGACGAAGUGGCCUCCGAAAGAAAGCCCCCCGAUCCGCCAGACAGUCCCCUAAAGGCGUUUGUGGUACCCCAGUACUCUGUCCAGCAGCCAGAACCUGUUAACCACAAAGGCGUUGUUCGAAACAUAGAUGAGGCACCCAAGCCAGGAGCAGUUGCGACUGCAGCCGUGACUCCUGCUUCGGCUCCGACGAGGAAGACGCAACCCGAAGUUAUCAUCUGCUGCCAAUUCUGCGGAUGCCAUGGUCUUCGGAGCGAGUUUGUUCGUGAUGGCCUCUUCUGCAGCCAACUAUGCUACGUAAACUUUGCCAGUCGGGAGCGAAUAAAGCGGAAGGAAGAGCACCUCAAGCAGAGGAAACGCAAGGCUAGUCCCAACGGAGAAGACUCAGAUGAUGAGGAGCCACGCGAUAGUCGGCCAAGUCCCCCGGUACCUCAGAGGGAACCAUUCUCGUGGAACGAGUACCUUGAGCGCCUUGGUGCACAGGCGGCACCAUCAAGGCUUUUUCGUGAGCACCAAGUGGCUCCCACCGUGGCUAAUGGCUUCCGAGUUGGCAUGAAGCUGGAGGCUGCGGACCCCGCACAUCCAAGCAUGUUUUGUGUGGUGACAGUGGCACAAGUGGUUGGCUUCCGACUUAGGCUUCACCUAGAUGGCUAUGCCGAUGUGUAUGACUUCUGGGUGAAUGCCGACUGCCCCGACAUGUAUCCAGCAGGUUGGUGCGAGCGGACUCACAGGAAGCUGCACCCACCCAAGGGCUACACAGCAGAGCAGUUCAACUGGGCCAACUAUCUCCGAGCGUCGCGGUCCCAGGCAGCCCCGAGGCAACUAUUUGCAAACCGUAUCGCCACGCAGCCUGGCGCUCCUUUAAAAGGGGGAAUGAAACUGGAGGCAGCUGAUCCAAGUACUGGAGUGGCCUGUGUGGCGACUCUCACUGACAUCACCGACACCGGCCGAUUUCUUGUUACGCCUGACGGGCGGGACAAAAGUGGCGCCUUCUGGGCUGAUGCAGGCUCUCCCCUGCUACGGCCGCCGAACUGGAGCCGUGAGCAUGGAGAGACGCUGAUGACGCCUACUACAGGCUGGAAGGGCCCGUUUUCAUGGGAGCGCUACCUCUCGGAUCACCGGGCUCAGGGUGUCCCUGCACGAGCCCUGCGGCCACGGGCUGGGCCCCAGGGAUUCCAAGUGGGACACCGGUUUGAAGUGGUGGACCCGCGCGACAGGCGGUUCGUGCGAGUCGCGAGUGUGGCUGCACUGCGACCGCGAGGAUUGCUGGUCCAUCUAGAUGGCUGGCCACCCGAGCGGGAUUUCUUCCUGGAUGCCGACAGCCCCGACAUGCACCCAGCAGGCUGGUGUACCCGCACAGGUCACCCACUUGAGCCACCAGGCGCCCUAGCUCCGCUUCCUCCGGGAGCCCUGCCCUUCAGCCCAGGGUGUCCCACACCUGGCUGCCAUGGCUUCGGACAUGUGAAAGGAUUUUCCAGCCAUCACAGUACUUAUGGAUGCCCAUUCUCGGCUGCUAACCGGGAGUUGCCUGAUCGACUCAACAUACCAUCUAGUGUACCUCAAGAGACCAAAGAUGGCCUAAGGCGGUGCCCAACUCCUGGUUGCAAUGGUAGCGGACACCUCAAGGAGAAGUACACGGUGCACCACAAUGCAUCUGGUUGUCCCCUUGCUACAGCACAUGUGGGUGACGACAGCAGCCAGGACAGCCCUUCAGCAGCACCAGUUCAACCACGAGGAAGAGGACGGCCGCGCAAGAUACGGACACCUGAUGUUGUUCCCAACACAGGACGGCUCAAGAAUCAAGAGCUGCCACAGACUGUGCAUCAAUCGGUCUUUGGAGUGACACGGUCAUCAGAAGAGCGCCCUCUGGGUCUUGAGCAGCACUGGCCGCAGUUGGAUCUGGUGCCGGGAUCACUGGUGUCGGACUGGUCCCUGAGCCAAGUGGCACACUUUGUCAGCUCCCUGCCAGGUUGCCAAGGUCUGGCCGCCAUUUUCAAAGAACAGACCCCCCCAACCGAUGUCGGCUGCACAGAGAAGGAGAACAUGGCAUCCAGGUCGCCACCCCUGUUCGCAGUCCGUGCAGUAGUUGUACAGUGACAACCGACUUCAUGGCCUCUCUGUGACUACACUGCCCCCUUCUAGUCACCACACCUGUGUUGAGAUCGAUGGCGAGGCCUUCCUGCUGCUCAGCCAAACCGACCUGGUGCGCAACCUCCGGCUCAAGCUUGGUCCCGCCCUCAAGGUUCACAGUUGUAUCCUGCGCUUCCGCAGCAGUCUAGCCCCGUCCUGAGCAGCUUGUAGGGACAAGGCCACUGCUACAAUGCUACUCUGACCCCUCCCAUGAUGACACACA